AUUGAACGCUGGCGGCAGGCUUAACACAUGCAAGUCGAGCGGGGUGAAGUGCUUCGGUACUGAUCCUAGCGGCGGACGGGUGAGUAAUGCUUAGGAAUCUGCCAUUUAGUGGGGGACAACAUUCCGAAAGGGAUGCUAAUACCGCAUACGUCCUACGGGAGAAAGCAGGGGAUCUUCGGACCUUGCGCUAAAUGAUGAGCCUAAGCCGGAUUAGCUAGUUGGUGGGGUAAAGGCCUACCAAGGCGACGAUCUGUAGCGGGUCUGAGAGGAUGAUGCGCCACAGUGGGACUCAGACACGUCCCAGAGUCCUACGGGAGGCAGCAGGGGGGAAUAUUGGACAAUGGGGGGAACCCUGAUCCAGCCAUGCCGCGUGUGUGAAGAAGGCCUGUUGGUUGUAAAGCUCUUUAAGCGUGGAGGAGGCUACCUAGAUUAAUACUCUGGGAUAGUGGACGUUACUCGCAGAAUAAGCACCGGCUAACUCUGUGCCAGCCGCCGCAGUAAUAC
rnacentral:rRNA from 1 species